AGUGAACGCUGGCGGCGUGCUUAACACAUGCAAGUCGAACGAGAACGGGUUAAAGCUUGCUUUAACUGUCAGCUAAGUGGCGCACGGGUGAGUAAUAUAUAGGUAACAUGCCCUAGAGAGGGGGAUAACAGUUGGAAACGACUGCUAACACCCCAUAUGCCUUUAAGUCUAAAGACUGCAAGGGAAACAUUUAUGGCUCUAGGAUUGGCCUGUACGGUAUCAGCUAGUUGGUGAGGUAAUGGCUCACCAAGGCAAUGACACCUAACUGGUUUGAGAGGAUGAUCAGUCACACUGGAACUGAGACACGGUCCAGACUCCUACGGGAGGCAGCAGUGGGGAAUAUUGCACAAUGGACGAAAGUCUGAUGCAGCAACGCCGCGUGGAGGAUGACACAUUUCGGUGCGUAAACUCCUUUUAUAUAGGAAGAUAAUGACGGUACUAUAUGAAUAAGCACCGGCUAACUCCGUGCCAGCAGCCGCGGUAAUACGGAGGGUGCAAGCGUUACUCGGAAUUACUGGGCGUAAAGAGCGUGUAGGCGGGUCAAUAAGUUGGAAGUGAAAUCCUAUGGCUCAACCAUAGAACUGCUUCCAAAACUGUUAACCUAGAAUGUGGGAGAGGUAGAUGGAAUUUCUGGUGUAGGGGUAAAAUCCGUAGAUAUUAGAAGGAAUACCGAUUGCGAAGGCGAUCUACUGGAACACUAUUGACGCUGAGACGCGAAAGCGUGGGGAGCAAACAGGAUUAGAUACCUGGUAGUCCACGCCCUAAACGAUGUACACUAGUUGUUGUGAGGCUA
rnacentral:rRNA from 1 species